AAUGCUCAUACACCCCCUAAACUUUGGACUAGUGGCCAAGACACCCCCUAAACUUUUUUAUUGGCCAAUUUACUCUCCAAACUAUACACUCCUGCCAAAUUAAUACUUCAGUUAGCUUCCCGUUAAAAAACUCAUGGAAUAGCAUGUGAGAAUCACGUGAAAUUUAAAAAUUGACUAAUUUACACAAAAGAAAGAAAAGAGAGAGGAGAGACCUAGUUUUGACCGGCGAAGAGGAGAGAGAAAGAGGCAGUAGAACCAGAGCCACCGUAAAGCGGUGCUAAGUUCUUCAUCAGACGGCUGUCUCGCCGUCCGUAGGCCGUAUCUUCAAGCCCUGAUGUCCUGUACAAGUAAUGCAUUAGGUCAGGAAGGAUCAUUUGCAAGUGUUGCAUUAUCAUCUCCUCAAGAGAGGAGAUCAAGUAUUGCAAGCUCCCGCCACAAAAAUUGAUGGUGCAAGAGAUCCUCAACUCAAAGAAGUGUUGCAAGUGGAGAGAAUGGGUGGUCCACAACAUCAAGCAAUUUUUUUUAGUUUAGAAUCAUGUUUUUGAAACUUUGGCUAAGUGCUCUAAUGAUUGUUCAUAUGCCAAUUAGUUUGGCAAUGAUGUACUAGUGAUUUGUGUGAGAUGUAUUCAUGAGCAGAUUAUGAUCCUCAUUUUGUUAUUAAUAAAAAAAAAAUUCUGCACCUAUGUGCAAUUUAUACAAA